rnacentral:tRNA from 1 species
GUCCAGGGUAGCCUAGUGGCCAUGGCAUCUGCCCGGUAAGCGGAAGGUCGUGGGUUCGAUUCCCAUCCCUUGACA